GUUAUCUGAUCCUCUUUUAGAGGUGACGAUAAUGGAAUGAGCGGCGGACGGGUGAGUAACACGUAGGCAACCUGCCUGUAAGACUGGGAUAACUCGUGGAAACGCGAGCUAAUACCGGAUAACACUUUUCAUCUCCUGAUGAGAAGUUGAAAGGCGGCUUUUGCUGUCACUUACAGAUGGGCCUGCGGCGCAUUAGCUAGUUGGUAAGGUAAUGGCUUACCAAGGCGACGAUGCGUAGCCGACCUGAGAGGGUGAUCGGCCACACUGGGACUGAGACACGGCCCAGACUCCUACGGGAGGCAGCAGUAGGGAAUCUUCCGCAAUGGACGAAAGUCUGACGGAGCAACGCCGCGUGAGUGAUGAAGGUUUUCGGAUCGUAAAACUCUGUUGUUAGGGAAGAACAAGUGCCAUAGUAACUGAUGGCACCUUGACGGUACCUAACCAGAAAGCCACGGCUAACUACGUGCCAGCAGCCGCGGUAAUACGUAGGUGGCAAGCGUUGUCCGGAAUUAUUGGGCGUAAAGCGCUCGCAGGCGGUUCUUUAAGUCUGAUGUGAAAUCUUACGGCUCAACCGUAAACGUGCAUUGGAAACUGGGGAACUUGAGUGCAGAAGAGGAGAGUGGAAUUCCACGUGUAGCGGUGAAAUGCGUAGAGAUGUGGAGGAACACCAGUGGCGAAGGCGACUCUCUGGUCUGUAACUGACGCUGAGGAGCGAAAGCGUGGGGAGCGAACAGGAUUAGAUACCCUGGUAGUCCACGCCGUAAACGAUGAGUGCUAGGUGUUAGGGGGUUUCCGCCCCU
rnacentral:rRNA from 1 species